CUUAAGGUUGUAAACUCCUUUUGCUGAGGAAAAGAAGGCAGCCUGCUCCCUCUAUAGGCUUCUCUGGUUGUUGCUUUCACGAACCAGCCAUCCAGGGGAUCAGAGCAGCAUGCUUUUGAAGACUGUCAAAAACGCUCAAGACUUGGCCUUCUCAGUUGCACCAGCACUGCAAUUUCUGGCAUCGUUCUGAGAGUUUUCCCAUGUGGCCCCCCGUGACACUACAUGGCAUAUUGCUGGACAGCAGGUCCUCUGCUCUCCCACCACAGCCUUCCUUGGCUUCUGGAAAAUGGAACCAACCCUGGCUGUGAGCAGAC